rnacentral:rRNA from 1 species
CCAAUAGCGUAUAUUAAAGUUGUUGCAGUUAAAAAGCUCGUAGUUGAAUUUCGGGAUCAAUUUAUUGGUCGUGCUAUUGUACGUACUGGUAUUAUUGAUUCCUACCUUCUGACGAACCAUGAUGUCAUUAAUUUGGUGUCUUGGGGAAUCAGGACUGUUACUUUGAAAAAAUUAGAGUGUUUAAAGCAGGCUCACGCUUGAAUACAUUAGCAUGGAAUAACGAAAUAGGACGUUUGAUUCUAUUUUGUUGGUUUCUAGGAUCGACGUAAUUAUUAAUAGGGAUAGUUGGAGGCAUUAGUAGUCAAUUGUCAGAGGUGAAAUUCUUGGAUUUAUUUAAGACUAACUACUGCGAAAGCAUUUGCCAAGGAUGUUUUCAUUAAUCAAGAACGAAAGUUAGGGGAUCGAAGACGAUCAGAUACCGUCGUAGUCUUAACCAUAAACUAUGCCGACUAGGGAUCGGAUGAUGUUAAUUUUUUAAUGACUCAUUCGGCGCCUUACA